UUUAUGUUUUGUUGAGAAGAACAAUUAUGAAUAAUUUGAUAUCCUGCUUCGAUAUUUAGCAAGAUAAUUUUUGUUUUCUUUUCUGUGGGAUUAUUUUUUCUUCCUGACGUUUGGGUUCUUUACGAUUGUUAGUUUUUCGUCAUAAUUAGUUUAUGUUCGCAGAGAUGAGUGCCUUCACUGAAAUGAAAGUAUUUACCUUUCCAGGAUAACCUGAUUUUACUGGGAGUUUGGUCAGUCAAGAUUACUGGUUGUGUGAUCAUUGUCCCGAUAGAUGCCAUGUAUGGGUUCUUACGUUAAUUUUCUUGUUGAAAAUUAACUGUUGGAUUAACGGGAACAAAAUUUUGAGAAGAAUAUUUUCGGAUAUAUUCGAGAGAUAAUGUAAAUAAAGUAAAUGGCUGAAGAAGCUAACUCUUUUCGGUGAUUUCCCCAUCCAAACUUAAGGCAGUAGGUGAGAAGAGAGUAAGUCGAAGACUGUGGUUUACGAAGUAUUGACAAUGAUUGACUAUAUUGUAAUUCGUAAGUUUAAACUGAUAAUGAUUUUGGGGUACUCUGGUUACGAAGUAUUGACAAUGAUUGACUAUGUUGUCUUUUGGCUGCAAUCCUGAAAAAGAUAAUUUCGGAAAAAUAAAAAUAGGCGAGCAACUUAGAGUUCUUUAGUUGGUCAUGAGGUAAUACCUAAAUAACAGAUAUUUUUCAGAUGCUCCUUCUCAUGGUUAAUAUUUUAAGAUCCAUGUUAUUGCUACUUUUAUACUUAUACUGACUACAAUAUGUUUCUCUUUCGAAGCAGGUGAAUGACACUGUGGGAACAUUAGAUGUUGUAUCAACAAUGAUAAUUGGAACUCUAUGCGGGGUGAACAGAUGCAACGAUCAAGUCUCAAGGACUACUUACAAAUUCAGGAGGCAUGGUAUCUUAUUUGCGAGCUUAUGAGCAGUGAGAUAUAUAUGUCAGUCUACUUUCUUAUAGAAUAUGAGAUAAUUUGCAGAGCCCUAACCCAUAUGAUCAGGUAAGAAGAUUUACUUAAUCAAUUUAUGCACAUGGUGGAAGUUUGUUAUAUGAGUCCUUCGUUGGAGUACUCAAUUUCAUAUAUGAACAAGUUGUGUUUGAAUUGUUGAAUGACA